UACAGAGGUCUCAAGCGUUGUUCGGAUUCAUUGGGCGUAAAGGGUGCGUAGGUGGCGCUGUAAGUCGGGUGUGAAAUUUCGGAGCUUAACUCCGAAACUGCAUUCGAUACUGCGGUGCUUGAGGACUGGAGGAGACUGGAAUUCAUGGUGUAGCAGUGAAAUGCGUAGAGAUCAUGAGGAAGACCAGUGGCGAAGGCGGGUCUCUGGACAGUUCCUGACACUGAGGCACGAAGGCCAGGGGAGCAAACGGG
rnacentral:rRNA from 1 species